UUUAUGGAGAGUUUGAUCCUGGCUCAGGAUGAACGCUGGCGGCGUGCCUAAUACAUGCAAGUCGAGCGAACGGACGAGAAGCUUGCUUCUCUGAUGUUAGCGGCGGACGGGUGAGUAACACGUGGAUAACCUACCUAUAAGACUGGGAUAACUUCGGGAAACCGGAGCUAAUACCGGAUAAUAUUUUGAACCGCAUGGUUCAAAAGUGAAAGACGGUCUUGCUGUCACUUAUAGAUGGAUCCGCGCUGCAUUAGCUAGUUGGUAAGGUAACGGCUUACCAAGGCAACGAUGCAUAGCCGACCUGAGAGGGUGAUCGGCCACACUGGAACUGAGACACGGUCCAGACUCCUACGGGAGGCAGCAGUAGGGAAUCUUCCGCAAUGGGCGAAAGCCUGACGGAGCAACGCCGCGUGAGUGAUGAAGGUCUUCGGAUCGUAAAACUCUGUUAUUAGGGAAGAACAUAUGUGUAAGUAACUGUGCACAUCUUGACGGUACCUAAUCAGAAAGCCACGGCUAACUACGUGCCAGCAGCCGCGGUAAUACGUAGGUGGCAAGCGUUAUCCGGAAUUAUUGGGCGUAAAGCGCGCGUAGGCGGUUUUUUAAGUCUGAUGUGAAAGCCCACGGCUCAACCGUGGAGGGUCAUUGGAAACUGGAAAACUUGAGUGCAGAAGAGGAAAGUGGAAUUCCAUGUGUAGCGGUGAAAUGCGCAGAGAUAUGGAGGAACACCAGUGGCGAAGGCGACUUUCUGGUCUGUAACUGACGCUGAUGUGCGAAAGCGUGGGGAUCAAACAGGAUUAGAUACCCUGGUAGUCCACGCCGUAAACGAUGAGUGCUAAGUGUUAGGGGGUUUCCGCCCCUUAGUGCUGCAGCUAACGCAUUAAGCACUCCGCCUGGGGAGUACGACCGCAAGGUUGAAACUCAAAGGAAUUGACGGGGACCCGCACAAGCGGUGGAGCAUGUGGUUUAAUUCGAAGCAACGCGAAGAACCUUACCAAAUCUUGACAUCCUUUGACAACUCUAGAGAUAGAGCUUUCGCCUUCGGGGGACAAAGUGACAGGUGGUGCAUGGUUGUCGUCAGCUCGUGUCGUGAGAUGUUGGGUUAAGUCCCGCAACGAGCGCAACCCUUAAGCUUAGUUGCCAUCAUUAAGUUGGGCACUCUAAGUUGACUGCCGGUGACAAACCGGAGGAAGGUGGGGAUGACGUCAAAUCAUCAUGCCCCUUAUGAUUUGGGCUACACACGUGCUACAAUGGACAAUACAAAGGGCAGCGAAACCGCGAGGUCAAGCAAAUCCCAUAAAGUUGUUCUCAGUUCGGAUUGUAGUCUGCAACUCGACUACAUGAAGCUGGAAUCGCUAGUAAUCGUAGAUCAGCAUGCUACGGUGAAUACGUUCCCGGGUCUUGUACACACCGCCCGUCACACCACGAGAGUUUGUAACACCCGAAGCCGGUGGAGUAACCUUUUAGGAGCUAGCCGUCGAAGGUGGGACAAAUGAUUGGGGUGAAGUCGUAACAAGGUAGCCGUAUCGGAAGGUGCGGCUGGAUCACCUCCUUU
rnacentral:rRNA from 1 species